rnacentral:lncRNA from 1 species
CACACAGGAGUACUUCUCCAUCUCAUGGAAGUUCAUCACCACCUUCACAUGGAAGUUCAUCACCACCAUCACAUGGUGGAGGGUAUUAUACACCAACACCACCUUCUACUGGAUGUGGAUAUUCACCACCACAUGAUCCUUCUACAUCAACACCAUCACAUAAUCAAACACCUUCAACACCAUCAAACCCUCCAUCAAGUGGUGGAUACUAUAACUCACCACCAUCAACUCCAACUGAUCCACCAGUCACUUUGACACCACCA